rnacentral:rRNA from 1 species
GACGAACGCUGGCGGCGUGCCUAAUACAUGCAAGUAGAACGCUGAAGGAGGAGCUUGCUUCUCCGGAUGAGUUGCGAACGGGUGAGUAGCGCGUAGGUAACCUGCCUGGUAGCGGGGGAUAUCUAUUGGAAACGAUAGCUAAUACCGCAUAACAGUAGAUGUUGCAUGACAUUUGCUUAAAAGGUGCAAUUGCAUCACUACCAGAUGGACCUGCGUUGUAUUAGCUAGUUGGUGAGGUAACGGCUCACCAAGGCGACGAUACAUAGCCGACCUGGGAGGGGGAUCGGCCACACUGGGACUGAGACACGGCCCAGACUCCUACGGGAGGCAGCAGUAGGGAAUCUUCGGCAAAGGACGGAAGUCUGACCGGGCAACGCCGCGUGAGUGAAGAAGGGUUUCGGAUCGUAAAGCUCUGUUGUAAGGGAAGAACGAGUGUGAGAGUGGAAAGUUCACACUGUGACGGUAUCUUACCAGAAAGGGACGGCUAACUACGUG